rnacentral:pre_miRNA from 1 species
GGAAUAUAAUAACCCGUCUCUUAACUUUUAACUAAAAAUGUUAAGAACCGACUCUUAAAACUCUUAUUUAAGAACCGGUUCUUAGCUUUUUUAGUUAAAAGUUAAGAGACGGAUUCUUAUAUUCC